rnacentral:rRNA from 1 species
UGGGGAAUAUUGGACAAUGGGGGCAACCCUGAUCCAGCCAUGCCGCGUGUGUGAAGAAGGCCUUUUGGUUGUAAAGCACUUUAAGCAGGGAGGAGAGGCUAAUGGUUAAUACCCAUUAGAUUAGACGUUACCUGCAGAAUAAGCACCGGCUAACUCUGUGCCAGCAGCCGCGGUAAUACAGAGGGUGCGAGCGUUAAUCGGAAUUGCUGGGCGUAAAGCGAGUGUAGGUGGCUCAUUAAGUCACAUGUGAAAUCCCCGGGCUUAACCUGGGAACUGCAUGUGAUACUGGUGGUGCUAGAAUAUGUGAGAGGGAAGUAGAAUUCCAGGUGUAGCGGUGAAAUGCGUAGAGAUCUGGAGGAAUACCGAUGGCGAAGGCAGCUUCCUGGCAUAAUAUUGACACUGAGAUUCGAAAAGCGUGGGUAGCAAAACAGGAUUAGAUACCCUGGUAGUCCACGCCGUAAAACGAUGUCUACUAGCCGUUGGGGUCCUUGAGACUUUAGUGGCGCAGUUAACGCGAUAAGUAGACCGCCUGGGGAGUACGGCCGC